AGGUAGAGCUGUAAGUGUGAAGGAAGAAAGCAUUAAAAAAAAGAGAAAAGAAACCUUUGUAAGAAGGUGGCCUGUACAGUUUUUAUGUCCAAUUGCUAUACUGUUUUGGUGUGAUUAUGAAAUUAUCUAUGCAUCAAAAUCUCUUUGAAGACACAAUAACUUAAUGCCAUUUCUGGACUACAGCCAGCAUUGUACCCUGAAAGGAAUUCCAAGGAAAAAGAAUAUGACUGAUUGCUGGAUGUAAAGCAUGUGUUGG